AACGAACGCUGGCGGCGCGCCUAAUACAUGCAAGUCGAGCGAGAAGACGUAGCAAUACGUUUGUAAAGCGGCGAACGGGUGAGGAAUACAUGGGUAACCUACCCUCGAGUGGGGAAUAACUAGCCGAAAGGUUAGCUAAUACCGCGUACGCUCCUUGGACUUCGGUUCAGGGAGGAAAGCGAUACCGUGGGUAUCGCGCUCUUGGAUGGGCUCAUGUCCUAUCAGCUUGUUGGUGAGGAACGGCUCACCAAGGCUUCGACGGGUAGCUGGUCUGAGAGGACGAUCAGCCACACUGGCACUGCGACACGGGCCAGACUCCUACGGGAGGCAGCAGUAAGGAAUAUUGCGCAAUGGGCGAAAGCCUGACGCAGCGACGCCGCGUGGGGGAUGAAGGUCUUCGGAUUGUAAACCCCUUUCGGGAGGGAAGAU
rnacentral:rRNA from 1 species